rnacentral:rRNA from 1 species
UUUUGGACAAUGGGGGCAACCCUGAUCCAGCAAUGCCGCGUGGGUGAAGAAGGCCUCCGGGUUGUAAAGCUCUUUUGUCAGGGAAGAAACACCGGCUCUAACACAGUCCGGGAAUGACGGUACCUGAAGAAUAAGCACCGGCUAACUACGUGCCAGCAGCCGCGGUAAUACGUAGGGUGCGAGCGUUAAUCGGAAUUACUGGGCGUAAAGCGUGCGCAGGCGGUUAUACAAGACAGGCGUGAAAUCCCCGGGCUUAACCUGGGAAUGGCGCCUGUGACUGUAUAGCUAGAGUGUGUCAGAGGGGGGUAGAAUUCCACGUGUAGCAGUGAAAUGCGUAGAUAUGUGGAGGAAUACCAAUGGCGAAGGCAGCCCCCUGGGAUAACACUGACGCUCAUGCACGAA